GUAGCAAUACACAGUCGAGCGGCGAACGGGUGAGUAACGCGUGGAUGACCUGCCCUUCAGCGGGGAAUAACCCGGGGAAACUCGGGCUAAUACCGCAUACGACCGAGAGGUGAAAGGGGGCCGCAAGGCUCUCGCUGAAGGAGGGGUCCGCGUUCGAUUAGCUAGUUGGUAGGGUAAUGGCCUACCAAGGCGACGAUCGAUAGCCGGCCUGAGAGGGUGAUCGGCCACACUGGAACUGAGACACGGUCCAGACUCCUACGGGAGGCAGCAGUGGGGAAUUUUGCGCAAUGGGCUAACGCCUGACGCAGCAACGCCGCGUGGAGGAUGAAGGUCUUUGGAUUGUAAACUCCUGUCAGCAGGGAAAAAGCAACUCGACCUCAUACGUCGGGAAGUUGAUUGUACCUGCAGAGGAAGCCCCGGCUAACUCUGUGCCAGCAGCCGCGGUAAUACAGAGGGGGCAAGCGUUAUUCGGAAUUAUUGGGCGUAAAGGGCGCGUAGGCGGCUUUUCAAGUGACGGGUGAAAGCCCUCGGCUUAACCGAGGAACUGCCUGUCAGACUGGAAGGCUUGAGACCGGGAGAGGUGAGUGGAAUUCCCAGUGUAGCGGUGAAAUGCGUAGAUAUUGGGAGGAACACCAGUGGCGAAGGCGGCUCACUGGACCGGAACUGACGCUGAGGCGCGAAAGCGUGGGGAGCAAACAGGAUUAGAUACCCUGGUAGUCCACGCCGUAAACGAUGAGUGCUUGGUGUAGCGGGUAUCGACCCCUGCUGUGCCGAAGUCAACACAUUAAGCACUCCGCCUGGGGAGUACGGUCGCAAGACUGAAACUCAAAGGAAUUGACGGGGGCCCGCACAAGCAGUGGAGCAUGUGGUUUAAUUCGAUGCAACGCGAAGAACCUUACCUAGGCUUGAAAGCAUU
rnacentral:rRNA from 1 species